GACGAACGCUGGCGGCGUGCCUAAUACAUGCAAGUAGAACGCUGAAGAGAGGAGCUUGCUCUUCUUGGAUGAGUUGCGAACGGGUGAGUAACGCGUAGGCAACCUGCCUUGUAGCGGGGGAUAACUAUUGGAAACGAUAGCUAAUACCGCAUAACAAUGGAUGACACAUGUCAUUUAUUUGAAAGGGGCAAUUGCUCCACUACAAGAUGGACCUGCGUUGUAUUAGCUAGUAGGUGAGGUAAUGGCUCACCUAGGCGACGAUACAUAGCCGACCUGAGAGGGUGAUCGGCCACACUGGGACUGAGACACGGCCCAGACUCCUACGGGAGGCAGCAGUAGGGAAUCUUCGGCAAUGAGGGCAACCCUGACCGAGCAACGCCGCGUGAGUGAAGAAGGUUUUCGGAUCGUAAAGCUCUGUUGUAAGUCAAGAACGGGUGUGAGAGUGGAAAGUUCACACUGUGACGGUAGCUUACCAGAAAGGGACGGCUAACUACGUG
rnacentral:rRNA from 1 species